UCCCUGGAGGACUAGUGGUUAGGCCUCGGCGCUCUCACCGCAGCAGCCCGGGUUCAAUUCCCGGCCAGGGAA
rnacentral:tRNA from 1 species